rnacentral:rRNA from 2 species
GUUAAGCGACUAAGCGUACACGGUGGAUGCCCUGGCAGUCAGAGGCGAUGAAGGACGUGCUAAUCUGCGAAAAGCGCCGGCGAGGUGAUAUGAACCUUUGACCCGGCGAUGUCCGAAUGGGGAAACCCAGUGUGUUCCGACACACUAUCGUUAACUGAAUACAUAGGUUAACGAGGCGAACCGGGGGAACUGAAACAUCUAAGUACCCCGAGGAAAAGAAAUCAACCGAGAUUCCCCCAGUAGCGGCGAGCGAACGGGGAGCAGCCCAGAGUCUGAAUCAGCUUGUGUGUUAGUGGAAGCGUCUGGAAAGUCGCACGGUACAGGGUGACAGUCCCGUACACGAAAGCACACAGGCUGUGAACUCGAAGAGUAGGGCGGGACACGUGGUAUCCUGUCUGAAUAUGGGGGGACCAUCCUCCAAGGCUAAAUACUCCUGACUGACCGAUAGUGAACCAGUACCGUGAGGGAAAGGCGAAAAGAACCCCGGCGAGGGGAGUGAAAAAGAACCUGAAACCGUGUACGUACAAGCAGUGGGAGCCUCUUUUAUGGGGUGACUGCGUACCUUUUGUAUAAUGGGUCAGCGACUUAUAUUCUGUAGCAAGGUUAACCGUAUAGGGGAGCCGAAGGGAAACCGAGUCUUAACUGGGCGUUAAGUUGCAGGGUAUAGACCCGAAACCCGGUGAUCUAGCCAUGGGCAGGUUGAAGGUUGGGUAACACUAACUGGAGGACCGAACCGACUAAUGUUGAAAAAUUAGCGGAUGACUUGUGGCUGGGGGUGAAAGGCCAAUCAAACCGGGAGAUAGCUGGUUCUCCCCGAAAGCUAUUUAGGUAGCGCCUCGUGAACUCAUCUUCGGGGGUAGAGCACUGUUUCGGCUAGGGGGCCAUCCCGGCUUACCAACCCGAUGCAAACUACGAAUACCGAAGAAUGUUAUCACGGGAGACACACGGCGGGUGCUAACGUCCGUCGUGAAGAGGGAAACAACCCAGACCGCCAGCUAAGGUCCCAAAGUCAUGGUUAAGUGGGAAACGAUGUGGGAAGGCACAGACAGCCAGGAUGUUGGCUUAGAAGCAGCCAUCAUUUAAAGAAAGCGUAAUAGCUCACUGGUCGAGUCGGCCUGCGCGGAAGAUGUAACGGGGCUAAACCAUGCACCGAAGCUGCGGCAGCGACGCUUAUGCGUUGUUGGGUAGGGGAGCGUUCUGUAAGCCGUUGAAGGUGUCCUGUGAGGGGUGCUGGAGGUAUCAGAAGUGCGAAUGCUGACAUAAGUAACGAUAAAGCGGGUGAAAAGCCCGCUCGCCGGAAGACCAAGGGUUCCUGUCCAACGUUAAUCGGGGCAGGGUGAGUCGACCCCUAAGGCGAGGCCGAAAGGCGUAGUCGAUGGGAAACAGGUUAAUAUUCCUGUACUUGGUGUUACUGCGAAGGGGGGACGGAGAAGGCUAUGUUAGCCGGGCGACGGUUGUCCCGGUUUAAGCAUGUAGGCGGAGGUUCCAGGUAAAUCCGGUUCCUUGUUAACGCUGAGGUGUGAUGACGAGGCACUACGGUGCUGAAGUAACAAAUGCCCUGCUUCCAGGAAAAGCCUCUAAGCAUCAGGUAACAUCAAAUCGUACCCCAAACCGACACAGGUGGUCAGGUAGAGAAUACCAAGGCGCUUGAGAGAACUCGGGUGAAGGAACUAGGCAAAAUGGUGCCGUAACUUCGGGAGAAGGCACGCUGAUAUGUAGGUGAAGCCCCUGCGGGUGGAGCUGAAAUCAGUCGAAGAUACCAGCUGGCUGCAACUGUUUAUUAAAAACACAGCACUGUGCAAACACGAAAGUGGACGUAUACGGUGUGACGCCUGCCCGGUGCCGGAAGGUUAAUUGAUGGGGUUAGCGGUAACGCGAAGCUCUUGAUCGAAGCCCCGGUAAACGGCGGCCGUAACUAUAACGGUCCUAAGGUAGCGAAAUUCCUUGUCGGGUAAGUUCCGACCUGCACGAAUGGCGUAAUGAUGGCCAGGCUGUCUCCACCCGAGACUCAGUGAAAUUGAACUCGCUGUGAAGAUGCAGUGUACCCGCGGCAAGACGGAAAGACCCCGUGAACCUUUACUAUAGCUUGACACUGAACACUGGUCCUUGAUGUGUAGGAUAGGUGGGAGGCUUUGAAGCGUGGACGCCAGUCUGCGUGGAGCCAACCUUGAAAUACCACCCUUUAAUGGCUGGUGUUCUAACGUAGACCCGUGAUCCGGGUUGCGGACAGUGUCUGGUGGGUAGUUUGACUGGGGCGGUCUCCUCCCAAAGAGUAACGGAGGAGCACGAAGGUUAGCUAAUCCUGGUCGGACAUCAGGAGGUUAGUGCAAUGGCAUAAGCUAGCUUGACUGCGAGAGUGACGGCUCGAGCAGGUGCGAAAGCAGGUCAUAGUGAUCCGGUGGUUCUGAAUGGAAGGGCCAUCGCUCAACGGAUAAAAGGUACUCCGGGGAUAACAGGCUGAUACCGCCCAAGAGUUCAUAUCGACGGCGGUGUUUGGCACCUCGAUGUCGGCUCAUCACAUCCUGGGGCUGAAGUAGGUCCCAAGGGUAUGGCUGUUCGCCAUUUAAAGUGGUACGCGAGCUGGGUUUAGAACGUCGUGAGACAGUUCGGUCCCUAUCUGCCGUGGGCGCUGGAGAAUUGAGGGGGGCUGCUCCUAGUACGAGAGGACCGGAGUGGACGCAUCACUGGUGUUCGGGUUGUCAUGCCAAUGGCACUGCCCGGUAGCUAAAUGCGGAAGAGAUAAGUGCUGAAAGCAUCUAAGCACGAAACUUGCCCCGAGAUGAGUUCUCCCUGAGACUUUAAGUCUCCUGAAGGAACGUUGAAGACUACGACGUUGAUAGGUCGGGUGUGUAAGCGCAGCGAUGCGUUGAGCUAACCGAUACUAAUGAACCGUGAGGCUUAACCUUACA